rnacentral:lncRNA from 1 species
GGGCGCUGCCGGCAGCGCGAGGCCUCCGGUGCACAGUGCGAGGAGGGAGGCUCCGUGUGCGUCCUGAGAGUUCUGUGUUGCAACGGGGCAGUGUGGGGCCUCUCCCAAGGGCACCGUCGCCGUUCGGAUUGUGCUCUGGUGGCGGGUGGAGCACGGCUGCCCCACCCCUCCUGGAGCUGCAGCCUGAGAACCCCUAGGGAGGGGAGCCAAGGAUGUGGCAGCCCCUGGAUCCGCCCAAGUUGGGAUUGUGGAGCAGGAGGAGCACCGGAACCCAAGGAGAGCCUGGAGUUAACAGUAAGUAUGAGAUUGUCCUCUCAGCUGUGACAGUCACACUGUACGGGCCUGUGAGAUGGCAACGUUAAAGGACGCUGGGAGCGGAGUAUACGGGAACCACCCUACUGUUUUUUGGAACGUCCCUGUAAAUCUAAAAUCCCAUAAUAGAUUUUUAGAACUGCGAGGAAACCAAAGUUCACUUCCUCUCAGCUCACUUUCCAGCUUUCCUAGGUCUUUGCAGGAAGAUCAAAUGCAAGGUCCUUUUUCCUACAGCCCUUUCUGGGUUCCAGGCCUGCUCCUGUGGGGGCCAGCACAGCCGCAGAGCGGGCUCCAACAGUGGUCCCAGGGCCUCCUGGGCGGGGAGGCCAGCCUUCUGCAGCUUGGCCUCCCUGUGUGACUCGGCUCAAAGCAUGACCCCGGGGUGGGUCGCGCCUGACCCGUGUCUGGUUCCCCUGCCAGCACAGUAUUGGAAGAAAAGAGAAUCCAGGGUACGUCACACCCUUGGAGGGGCUGUGUGGGCUCCCUACACAACGUUUGGGGGAGUGGGUGUUGGCCAAGGCCCUCCCACUGCUCCAGGACUCAGGACAAUCGGAGACCUGCCGGAGUUUGCCCAAGGGUUCCCAAUUCCCCACUGUGAUGCAGCAGGAGCUGGAAGGCCUGGGAGGAACAUUGAGCUGGGAAUCGGAUACCUGGGCUCCGGGUGGGUUCAGCCCUCUGCCUGCUGCAUGGCCUCUCUAGAUCCCAUUUUCUGUUUAAAG